GACGAACGCUGGCGGCGUGCUUAACACAUGCAAGUCGAACGGGCCCGCCCCUGUUUUUGGGGGUGGGUUGAGUGGCGAACGGGUGAGUAUCACGUGAGUAACCUGCCCCCUGCUCCUGGAUAACUGCUUGAAAGGGCGGCUAAUACGGGGUGUGCCGGCUGGUCCGCAUGGGCCUGGUCGGGAUAGUUUCAUCUUCGGGUGUUUCGGUGGGGGAUGGGCUCGCGGCCUAUCAGCUUGUUGGUGGGGUGAUGGCCCACCAAGGCGGUGACGGGUAGCCGGCCUGAGAGGGUGGGCGGCCACACUGGGACGGAGACACGGCCCAGACUCCUGCGGGAGGCAGCAGUGGGGGGUAUUGCACAAUGGGCGGAAGCCUGAUGCAGCGACGUCACGUGAGGGAUGGAGGCCUUCGGGUUGUGAACCUCUUUCUCCGGUGGUGAAGGCCCUGUCCGUUGCGGCGGGGUUGACGGUAGCCGGGUAUGAAGCGCCGGCUAACUACGUG
rnacentral:rRNA from 1 species